rnacentral:rRNA from 1 species
GACGAACGCUGGCGGCAGGCUUAACACAUGCAAGUCGAACGAGUGGCGGACGGGUGAGUAAUGCUUGGGACUCUGGCUUAUGGAGGGGGAUAACGACGGGAAACUGUCGCUAAUACCGCGUACCAUAGGAUGAGCCCAAGUGGGAUUAGGUAGUUGGUGGGGUAAUGGCCUACCAAGCCGACGAUCUCUAGCUGGUCUGAGUGGAUGACCAGCGCAACCGGGACUGAGACACGGCCCGGACUCCGACGGGAGGCAGCAGUGGGGAAUAGUGCACAAUGGGGGCAACCUGACGCAGCCAUGCCGCGUGAAGGAAGAAGGCCUUGGGGUUGUAAAGUUCUUUCGGUGACGAGGCGUUAAUCACAGAAGAAGCACCGGCUAACUCCGUGUCAGCAGCCGCGGUAAUUC